rnacentral:lncRNA from 1 species
UCAGCCCAAAAUCUCCUUAAGCUGAUAAGCAACUUCAGCAAAGUCUCAGGAUACAAAAUCAAUGUACAAAAAUCACAAGCAUUCUUAUACACCAACAACAGACAAACAGAGAGCCAAAUCAUGAGUGAACUCACAUUCACAAUUGCUUCAAAGAGAAUAAAAUACCUAGGAAUCCAACUUACAAGGCAUGUGAAAGGCUACAGUAAGCAAAACAGCAUGGUACUGGUACCAAAACAGAGAUAUAGACCAAUGGAACAGAAUAGAGCCCCCGGAAAUAAUACCACACAUCUACAACCAUCUGAUCUUUGACAAACCUGACAAAAACAAGAAAUGGGGAAAAUCUAAAAUUGACACCCUAACAUCAAAGUUAAAAGAACUAGAGAAGCAACAGCUAACAAAUUCAAAAUCUAGCAGAAGACAAGAAAUAACUAAGAUCACAGCAGAACUGAAGGAGAGAGAGACACAAAAAACCCUUCAAAAAAAUCAAUGAAUCCAGGAGCUGGUUUUUUGAAGAGAUCAACAAAUAGAUAGACCACUAGCCAGACCAUGCAUUCAGACCAUACCAACAGCUUUAUAAGUUCUCUGGUACAAUCUUGCCUGGUAUGCAUGCCCUUGAGUAAUCCCUUUCACACUGAAUGGGGCUGACUCAUAUAAGCAACAGGAUAUUGAGGAUAUGAUGGUGUGUGCAUUUCAAAGUUAGGUCAUAAAAGUCAUUGCACCUUCCAACUUGCUGUCUCUCAGAUCACUCGCUCUGAAGGAAGCCAGCUGCCAUGUCAUGAGUCAUGUAAGCAGCCCUGUGGAGAGUAUUACUGUA